rnacentral:rRNA from 1 species
AACGAACGCUGACGGCGUGCUUAACACAUGCAAGUCGAACGAGAAAAUCCUACCUUGCUAGGGUGAGUAAAGUGACGCAUGGGUGAGUAACACGUGAGUAAUCUGCCCUUAAGUCAGGGAUAACUCCGCGAAAGCGGGGCUAAUACCCGAUAUGCUUACGACUACGGCGGAAGUUGUGAGAAAAGGUGGCCUCUGGCAUAAGCUAUCGCUUAAGGAUGAGCUCGCGGACCAUUAGCUAGUUGGUAGGGUAAUGGCCUACCAAGGCUAUAAUGGUUAGCUGGCCUGAGAGGGUGGCCAGCCACACUGGAACUGAGAUACGGUCCAGACUCCAACGGGAGGCAGCAGUGGGGAAUCUUGCGCAAUGGGGGAAGCCCUGACACAGCAACACCGUGUGAGUGAUGAAUGCUUUCGGAUCAUAAAGCUCUGUCAGAUGGGAAGAUGAUUCUGCUGAAAUUAUUGGAAGAUGAUGACGGUUCCAUCGAAGGAGCCCCGGGUAACUCCGUG